rfam:Triticum aestivum genome assembly, contig: Triticum_aestivum_CS42_TGACv1_scaffold_224881_3B
CUCUUACUCCCCUCCGUCCCAAAAUUCUUGUCUUACAUUUAUCUAGAUACGGAUGUAUCUAAUAUUAAAACAUGACUUGAUAUAUCCGUAUUUAGACAAAUCUAAGACAAGAAUUUUGGGUGACUUGAUACAUCCGUAUUUAGACAAAUCUAAGACAAGAAUUUUGGAACGGAGGGAGUAGUCA